GUGCUUGCUUCGGCAGCACAUAUACUAAAAUUGGAACGAUACAGAGAAGAUUAGCAUGGCCCCUGCCCAAGGAUGACACGCAAAUUCGUGAAGCAUUCUAUAUUAAA
rnacentral:snRNA from 1 species